UACAGAGGUCUCAAGCGUUGUCCGGAUUUAUUGGGCGUAAAGCGCGUGUAGGCGGCCAAGCAGGUCCGUUGUGAAAACUGGAGGCUUAACCUCCAGACGUCGACGGAAACCGCGUGGCUAGAGUCCGGAAGAGGAGAGUGGAAUUCCUGGUGUAGCGGUGAAAUGCGCAGAUAUCAGGAAGAACACCAAUGGCGAAGGCAGCUCUCUGGGACGGUACUGACGCUGAGACGCGAAAGCGUGGGGAGCGAACAGG
rnacentral:rRNA from 1 species